AGAUGGUGAACUAUGCCCGAGUAGGGCGAAGCCAGAGGAAACUCUGGUGGAGGCUCGCAGCGAUUCUGACGUGCAAAUCGAUCGUCAAACUUGGGUAUAGGGGCGAAAGACCAAUCGAACCAUCUAGUAGCUGGUUCCCUCCGAAGUUUCCCCCAGGAUAGCUGGAGCCCGGUGCAGUUUUAUCAGGUAAAGCGAAUGAUUAGAGGUCUUGGGGUUGAAACAACCUCAACCUAUUCUCAAACUUUAAAUGGGUAAGAAGGCUGGCUUGCUCGGUUGAAGUCGUGCCGUUGAAUGCCGGGGCUCCUAGUGGGCCAUUUUUGGUAAGCAGAACUGGCGAUGCGGGAUGAACCGAACGCCGGGUUAAGGUGCCAGAGUCGACGCUCAGCA
rnacentral:rRNA from 1 species